rnacentral:rRNA from 1 species
UGGGGAAUCUUGCGCAAUGGGCGAAAGCCUGACGCAGCAACGCCGCGUGAGCGAAGACGGCCUUCGGGUUGUAAAGCUCUGUCAGGAGGGACGAAGCCACUCAGGUGAAUAGCCGAGAGGGUGACGGUACCUCCAGAGGAAGCCCCGGCUAACUACGUGCCAGCAGCCGCGGUAAUAAGUAGGGGGCAGGCGUUGUCCAGAAUCAUUGGGCGUAAAGCGCGUGUAGGCGGCCAUCCAAGUCUGAUGUGAAAGCUCGGGGCUCAACCCCGAGUCUGCAUUGGAAACUGGCUGGCUUGAGUCCGGAAGAGGAGACUGGAAUUCCUGGUGUAGCGGUGAAAUGCGCAGAUAUCAGGAAGAACACCGGUGGCGAAGGCGGGUCUCUGGGACGGUACUGACGCUGAGACGCGAAAGCGUGGGGAGCAAACA